ACGAUUGCCUUCGGGUGAUAGUGGCGCACGGGUGCGUAACGCGUGGGAAUCUGCCCUUAGGUUCGGAAUAACAGCUGGAAACGGCUGCUAAUACCGGAUGAUAUCGCGAGAUCAAAGAUUUAUCGCCUGAGGAUGAGCCCGCGUUGGAUUAGGUAGUUGGUGGGGUAAAGGCCUACCAAGCCGACGAUCCAUAGCUGGUCUGAGAGGAUGAUCAGCCACACUGGGACUGAGACACGGCCCAGACUCCUACGGGAGGCAGCAGUGGGGAAUAUUGGACAAUGGGCGCAAGCCUGAUCCAGCAAUGCCGCGUGAGUGAUGAAGGCCCUAGGGUUGUAAAGCUCUUUUACCCGGGAAGAUAAUGACUGUACCGGGAGAAUAAGCCCCGGCUAACUCCAUGCCAGCAGCCGCGGUAAUACGGAGGGGGCUAGCGUUGUUCGGAAUUACUGGGCGUAAAGCGCACGUAGGCGGCUUUGUAAGUCAGAGGUGAAAGCCUGGAGCUCAACUCCAGAACUGCCUUUGAGACUGCAUCGCUUGAAUCCAGGAGAGGUCAGUGGAAUUCCGAGUGUAGAGGUGAAAUUCGUAGAUAUUCGGAAGAACACCAGUGGCGAAGGCGGCUGACU
rnacentral:rRNA from 1 species